GUUUCUGUAGUGUAAGCGGUUAUCACGUUUGCCUAACACGCAAAAAGGUCCUCGGUUGAAACCGAGCAGAAACA
rnacentral:tRNA from 1 species